CCCUUAGACGUUCUGGGCCGCACGCGCGCUACACUGACGAAGGCAACGAGCUUUCCUUUACCGAAAGGUACGGGUAAUCUUUUGAAACUUCGUCGUGCUGGGGAUAGAUCCUUGCAAUUUUUGAUCUUAAACGAGGAAUGCCUAGUAAGCGCAAGUCAUCAACUUGCGUUGAUUACGUCCCUGCCCUUUGUACACACCGACCGUCGCUACUACCGAUUGAAUGGUUUAGUGAGGCCUUCGGAUCCGCGACUCGUUUGUGGAGAAGUUGGACAAACUCAGUCAUUUAGAGGAAGUAAAAGUCGUAACA
rnacentral:rRNA from 1 species